GUAAAGCAAUAGGUUGCUUGCUAUAUGUUUCUAUUCUAUAUGGGUGAGGUCAUUGUUGAGAACAUGGGAUUUAGAACAGAGUUUGCCCAAUGGUUAUCAUGUAAUACUGGGCUAAGAAAUUCACGGUAGCAGUGUGUCAAAUGCUAUAGAUUUGCUAUAUAAAUUAUUAGGGUCUGUGGCAAUAUUAAUGCAAUGCACUUUUCCAUUUAUUUAUUAUGUGAAAAGUUAGGCAAAUGUAGGCAUUUACACCCACAGAAAUUAAGUACAUUUUGAGGGGUGCAAUUUUAACCUUCUUUUUGUUUUGUAUUUUUUUGUAGCAGCUAUUUACGCUUCGUAAGCUUUAACCCCCAACUAAACCAGAAAAAUGAAAUUUGCUUUGGCAAUCUUGAUGCUCGUGCUUUGCGCUCACACCACCUCUGCUUGGUAUGUGACAUGCUCCACCUUCGACAGCUACAAGGGUAGUAUCAAUAGCAGAUUCAGCUCUGUUGAAAGUCGUGCCAGAUCUGCAUACAGCAUCGGUCUUUGCGCCAAGAACAAGGCUUACUACGUUGCCAACGAUGUCUCUUCCGUUCAAUCUUCAGUCAGCAGUUUGAGCAGCAGAGUGGGAUCCGUCGAGAGCGACGUCAAGGCAGUAAAGGAGACCGUGAACAGCUUGAACAAAUGUGCCAAGGCAGAGGAUAUGUUCCUUUGCAUGUUCGGCAUUGAUUAUUAAACCCUCCCUUCAUCCUUCAAGUCAUGGAUGGGAAACCAAGACCCUGUAUCAGUGUUUUAAAUACCCAUUACCAUGACAUCAUAUAAUAAAAUAAAAAAGCAUCAAAUA